ACAGCAAUUCGUUCUGUCGCUAUCUUUGAAACACAGGGUAGAGGAAAGUCCGGACAACACAGAGCGCCAUACUUCCUAACAGGAAGGGCUUAUCAAAGAUAAGAACAGCAAGUGCCACAGAAAAUAACCGCCGAAAGGUAAGGGUGAAAAUGUGAGGUAAGAGCUCACACACUGCACAGGUAACUGUAUAGCGGGGUAAACCUUAUGGGUUGCAAGACCAUGUAGAUCGGGGCUUGAGGGCUGCUCGUCCAAUCCCGAAGGGUAGGUCGAUAAAAAUAUUUAGUGAUAAAUAUUGUAGAUAAAUGACAGAAAUGCUGACAAAAAUUAGCAUACAGAAUCCGGCUUAUAGAAUUGCUGUUUUU
rnacentral:RNase_P_RNA from 1 species